UGGCUUUGGCUUUAUAGCCGAAUAUUACAACAUAUUUUUUGUUUUGUUUUUUGUUUUUUGUUUUUUGUUUAUCUUUGUUUCUGUCUUUCUUCUGUUUCUCUGUCUCUAUUCUUUUUUUUUUUCAGGUGGUGGUGGCAAGGAGGGGUACGGGUAACAGCUGAAGGCGUGCCUGCCGACGUGGCAGAGGCAGCAGCGCUAAUGGCUUUAGGAUUUCUGAUUAAUUUUAGGUUUUGGGCUAUUGGGCUUUGGGUUGUUGGGCCUUAUGGGUCUUGGUUUAGAUGGUUUAGGUUAGUAGAUUGGGUUUGUGUGGUUUAGGUUUGGGCUUGUAUUUUGUAAAUGGAAUCCUCUUUUUUUAAUGGACUUUUAUUAAUUUUGGUUUAUCUUUUUUUUAGUUUUUUGAUUUGGUUUGUUUAGGCCGGAUAAAAAUGAGUCUCUACAUAUAUAAGAUAAAUAAAACUAGUCUAAACUAAAAAGAAACUAAUAUAAAUAAGAAUUAAG
rnacentral:lncRNA from 1 species